UUCUAACCGGUGUCGAAGUAAAUGUCGUUGGAAAUAUUUUGAGACAAAUUUGAAUACAUGUUUAAGAACAAUAAGUAUAUUUCUUCAUGAAAAUAGACUGUCUCUGGAAUAUGACAAGAAUAUAAUAGAACCAUGAUGAAAGGAUUUUACGACUGAAAUAAAAUAAAAAUGUUCAUUAAGAUUGAAGAUGUGAGCAAACAACUGUCUACGUCCCAACAAGCAGGAAGGUAGAUAGAACACAAUACCUGCAUGAAAACAUACUUUUACACUGUUAGACAUGAAUCAAAAUGGUAACCAAAAUGCAUAUACUUUUGACUUCUUUAUUCUGUUUGAGGAAAAUAACGGCCAAGAUACAAGGUACGCUGACAAGAUUGUAGAAUAUUUGGAAAGUGAACAUAAUUUAAAGGGAUAUAUGGAGACUCGGAAUGGCACACCAGGACAGAGUGUUUUCAAAAAUUUUGAGUAUGCCUUGAAGAAUUCAAGAUUUGUUCUUCUGUUAAUUUCUAUGGAGUCUAUAAAGGAUGGAUGGUGGGAUAAACAGAUGGAAACAACAUUGUAUCACCACAUUAACAGUGUUCGCCAGGAUAGAGUUGUACCAAUUUACCUUCCAGAUCUGAAUAUUGAUGACUUGCCAAUGGCUCUUAGUAUAUUCAUUGGAGUGCAUUAUGCCGAUGACCCAAAAAGUCAGUUUUGGAGAAAACUUUCACGAGUUUUUGAGUGAUCAAUGAUGAGUAUGUUCAACUAAUUGUUCAAAAUUUGAAACUGAGAGCAAAUUUCUUUGGUUGUGACAGCUCAUUGGACAAAACAUUUGGAUGAUAACAUGUCAGAGUAUUAUAUGCCUCUAUGCUUAAUGA
rnacentral:lncRNA from 1 species